UUAGAGAAUACAUUAUCUAAUCUGUUAUUAUUAUGACAGAAAUUUUAAAUAUGCAAUACACCAUUUGUAAUAUAAGUUUCAUUUGUAUUAGCUUUUUAUCAUGUUCUAAUUCAUUGAAGCAUCAUUUUCAAACUCAAUCUUCUAUGUGAUUAAAUUAUCGAUAAGAUAUUAUUUUUUUAUACGCCCGUUUACGGGACGUAUUAUGGUAUACCGUUGACCGUCUGUCCUUCUGUCUGUCAGUCGUCAACUUGUCGGACAUUAACUCAAAAACACUUUAACCAGUAUGCAUGAAACUUUGGUGAAUUGUUUAUAUCUAUUGACGUGAGCUCCCUUUCGUUUUUUAUAAAUUUCGGAUUUACCGUUUCCGAGUUUUGGGGUUUUAUUCAUUAAAAAAGGGGGGAUUUUCCAGUUUUUGGACAAUAACUCAAAAAACAAUUUCACCAAUUUGCAAGAAACUUUGGUGAAUUGUUUAUUUCUAUCAACAUGAGCUCCCUUUUGAUUUUUAUACGACCACAAAAAAAUUUUUGUGGUCGUAUAUUGGUAUGAAGUUGGCGUCGUCGUCCGAAGACACAUUGAUUUUCGCACUCUAACUUUAGUUUAAGUGAAUGGAUCUCUAUGAAAUUUUACCACAAGGUUCAAUACCACAAAAGGAAGGUUGGGAUUGAUUUGAUGGGGGUUAUGGUACCAACAGUAAAGGAAUUUAAGGGGCCAAAAAUAAGCAUUUUUGUAACUUCCAGACAUAACUUGUGUGUUAGUGUAUGGAUCUCUCUGACAUUGUACCACAAGGUUCCAUAUCACAAAAGGAAUGCUGGGAUUGAUUUUGGGGGUAAUUGCCUCAAAAUUUUAGGAAUUAGGGGCCAAAAAAGGGGCAAAAAACAAGCAUUUUUCUAGUUUCAUGACAAUAACUUGUGUGUAAGUGUAUGGAUCUUUCUGAAAUUGUACUACAAGGUUCCAUAUCACAAAGGGAAAGCUGGAAUUGAGUUUGGGGGUAAUUGCCGAAACGUUAAGGAAUUGGGGGGCCAAAAAGGGGCCAAAAAACACAUUUUUCUAGUUUCCAGACAAUAACUUGUGUUCAAGUAUAUGGAUCUCUCUGAAAUUGUACUGCAAGGUACCAUACCACAAAGGGAAGGCUGGGAUUGAUGAUGGGGGUAAUUGCCUCAAUAUUUUAGGAAUUAGGGGCCAAAAAGGGGCAAAAAACAAGCAUUUUUUCUAGUUUCAGGACAAUAACUUGUGUGUAAGUGUAUGGAUCUUUCUGAAAUUGUACUACAAGGUUCCAUAUCACAAAGGGAAAGCUGGGUUUGAGUUUGGGGGUAAUUGCCCUUAACGUUUAGGAAUUUGGGGCCAAAAAACACAUUUUUCUAGUUUCCAGACAAUAACUUGUGUUCAAGUGUAUGGAUCUCUCUGAAAUUGUACUGCAAGGUACCAUACCACAAAGGGAAGGCUGGGAUUGAGUUUGGGGGUGAUGAAUCAUAAGGGGGUUCAAAAAAUUUGGAGGGGGAUUUUUUUUUUUCUUUUUUUUUCUUUUUUUCCUUUUUUUUUCUUUUAAAAUUUUCCAUUUUAAGUUGGUUAUUUCUGAUUUAUAUUUAAAAGCAAAUAAUAAUGAUAUGGUAGGAGAUACACACCAAACAGGAUGUGUAAAUUAUUAUAUGAUAAGUAUUAUGCAAUAGCAAGAAAUUUUCAAUUGCACAGUAUUGCACAAUAGCAAGAAAUCUUCAAUUGCACAGUAUUGCGCAAUAGCAAGAAAUAUCCAAUAGCACAAUAUUGCGCAAUAGCAAGAAAUUGUCAAUUGUACAGUUUUGCGCAUUAGCUAGAAAUAUUUAAUUGCACAGUAUUGUGCAAAAGAAGAUACUUCAUAUAAAUUGCUUAUUUCUUGACCAAUUUCAAUGGGGUUUUAUUCUUGAGGUUCUUUCAUAUGCUGAAUCUAACCGUGUAUUUAGUUUUUGGAUUUUGGGCCUGGUUUUUAAAUUGGUCCACAUUGAGGUCCAAAGGGUCCAAAAUUAAACUUUGUUUGAUUUCAUCAAAAAUUGAAUUAUUGGGGUUCUUUGAUAUGCCGAAUCUAACCGUGUAUUUAGAUUCUUAAUUUUUGGUUCCGUUUUCAAAUUGGUCUACAUUUAGGUCAAAAGGGUCCAAAAUUAAACUUAGUUUGAUUUUAACAAAAAUUGAAUUCUUAGGGUUCUUUGAUAUGCUGAAUCUAAACAUGUAUUUAGAUUUUUGAUUAUGGGCCCAGUUUUCAAGUUGGUCCAAAUCGAGGUCCAAAAUUAAACUUUGUUUGAUUUCAACAAAAUUUGAAUAUAUGGGGUUCUUUGAUAUGCUGAAUCUAACCAUGUAUUUAGAAUUUUGAUUUUUGGGCCCCGUUAUCAACUUUGUCCACAUUGAGGUCAAAAGGGUCCAAAAUUAAACUUUGUUUGAUUUCAUCAAAAAUUGAAUUCUUGGGGUUCUUUGAUAUGCUGAAUCUAACCAUGUAUUUAGAUUUUGGAUAUUAGACCAUAAUAGGUGAAUGUCCAAUUUAAAAUUUUUAAGUUCUUAGACCACAUUCAAUCUGUGUUAGAAACCUAUGCUGUGUCAAAUAUUUAAUCACAAUCCAAAUCCAAAGCUGUAUCAAGCUUGAAUGUUGUGUCCAUACUUCCCCCAACUGUUCAGGGUUCGACCUCUGCGGUCGUAUCAAGCUGCGCCCUGCGGAGCAUUUUAUUUAAUGAUAUAUUCAUGGAUUAAUUUGAAAGUUUGAAGUGUAAUAAUUACUUUGAGCAACAAGAUUGUAAUUUUUAUUUCACAUAUUUUCACUUUAGAAAUGGCUGAUAUUGACUAGGCACUCAUACAAGAAGCUAAAGUCCAGAAAGGUACUCAACAUACAGAGAUACUGUAAAAAAAAAACUUGUAUCUGCAAUAAUGGAUAUUUGUUGUUCCCAACCUUGGUAAAAAUUAAUAAAAAAAAGUUUUUCAUUCGAUGUCAUUUAAAAAAAAUAUAUCAGGAAACUUGAAUUUCAGCUCUUCAAUCUAGACUAAAAGUUGUACACUUUACCUUUUUGUAUAUAAAGUUUACAACAGUGUGGAAUUUGGUUAUACAUGUAUUAUAUUUUAGAUGCUGAUCCACUUUCAUCAUCAGCUCCACUGUUUAAACAGCUUGGGUGGAUGACAGUAGAGAACAGAAUCUCAUACCACAAAUCUGUUUUGAUGCAGAAAUGUCUUAAGAACGAAGACCCUGUAUAUAUAUCUCACUGAAAAAUUUAAAGAAAUGCCAGAAAUAAACCAAUAUUGUUUGAGGAAUGCGCCUUGCAAAAAUUUACAAGUUCCAAAAGCCAAAACAGAGCUGUAUAAGAAAUCUUUUAUAUAUUCAGGAUCUAUUUUAUGGAAUAACUUACCAACAUCCCUGAAAAAAUCAACCUCAAGUACAAGCUCAUUCAAAAAAGAUUUAAAAAAUUACUUGUUGGAACAUUAAGAAGGUGUGUAAUUUUAUAUGUGUAAUAAUUUUCACACACUUACUCAAACUUAAGAUAUUGUUGAGGUAAUUUGAAUGAUGCCAAUACUAUAUGAAUUUGUAAUUUUUACCUGUUUUGAAAAUUGUAUAUUUCAUAACAAUUUUUUAUUUCAUUUUUUCAUAUAUGUGUGUUUGUUUGAUAUUUUGUAAUUGUUUGUUAUAUUUCAUUGUAAAUCAUGAGGGCCUCAGGGAAGAUUAGCUUUAUAGCUAACUGUGUAACCCUCUUUAAAUAAAGAAUUAUUAUUAUUAUUAUUAUUAUUAUCCAGAACUUUAUUUUUUGCUAUCAUAUGCAACAAUGUAAUAAUAUGUUGGGACCUCACAAAUGACAAAAGACAUCCAAAUUUUGCAUGCAGUAUCCAAAAGUUGAAAACAGUAAAUUUUGAUGAAAAUGAACAAAAUUUUGAGCUUUUCACCAAAAAAAAUAUCCUAUAGUUAAAUAUUUUUCAAGUAUCCAUCGCUCCUUGCAAUCUACAACAUAUUAUCUUAACAACCAUGUCCAGUAUUUAUAAAUGUGUUAAGAAGCAAGGAGCUUGUGUGCCAAAGUAUGCAUGAUUCAGCAACAAAGGAAUCGCAAAAGCGCUGAAUUUAAUCAGAUGCGAUUCACUGUUCACAACAUCAUGCAGCUGGGAAACUGCAAUAUACUUCUGUAUGUGCAAUACUUAAUAAAAAUUCACACUGAUGAAAGUAAUAGUGCAUUUGUCAUGAUCCAAUGUUCUCAUUUAAUCGGACAAUAACUUUAAAUUGAUAUUAAGUUGCACGAAUAUGACAAAGUUUCGCCCGAAAACAAACUUCAUGAAAUAUUGUCAUUUUAGGUACCUGAAAGGUUUAAUUCCCUUUGUUUAUAGAAAUAGUUUGAGGACUGUGCAGGAUAUUCUGUACACUUGAGUUAAAGGAACUUAAUGAAAAGUGUUAUGGAAUAGUAAGAAUAAGUCUAAAUAAUUUAUUUAGUCAAUCAUAUAAUACUUUUCUCUAAAGAAAACCCCAAAAGAAAGAAAAAUGAAUUACUAUAUUUGAACUUCAAAGAAAACAUGCAAUGCAAGCAAAGUUAAAAAAUUAAAAUAAUGCCAGUUUUGGAAAAAUUGUUAAAAAAAAAUAUAUUAUUUGCCCCCUCACCUGUUUUGACUCCUUUAUGUGAAAGAUUUGGCAAACAUCCACCCUCGCACAGACUUAUUCAAUUACAUGUAUUGUGAUAUUUCAAUUGAAAAUUGAAAAAUAAGAUUGAACAUCUGAUUAUUCAUCAAGUUUCUUUCACUUUGAGGUUACCAAACCCCAAAAAAUUCUGGAAUUUGAGUAUUUUUAAGAGUCAAAAAUAAUACAUAUUGAAGAUUUCACAACUACUUUUACACAUAAAUCUAUUAAUUCAGCGCUAUAUAUUGUUGGUAACGACAGUUUUAAAACAAUAUCGUAAAAUAUUAAAAUUUAUAUGCAAAAUUUUGCAUUGAAAGACUUAAAUGGAUUUGUAUCUGAAAGACACAAUAUACCUUUACUUCCUUUAUAGUUUGGGUUUUGGUAGAGUAUGCUUUUAUUUAUUUUUGUGAUAAAAAUGCAUAUGUGUAACGAUCUACCUGAACUGUUUGGGGAGUCCUUCACCCGGACCCACAACCUGCGUUCUGCAUCCCCCAAUGGUAGCCUUAUUAAACACUUAAUACAUUUUUAAAGCCAGAAACUGCUCUAGGUUGAAAUCAUUUGGUCAAAUAGAACAUGGAAGUUAACAAAAUCAAAAAAAUUCAAAUGUCAUUUUUCAAUGUUUUGUGCAAAUUUGUAAAGUUUCCCAUGUUUUCCUGUGCGGAACAAGAUAUUGAUGUACAAUUAUCAUACGCUAUGAAAAAUAUGUUAGUUUUUGCAUCCUUUCAGGUCAUUUUAUGUAUGACACGUACUGUGGUAGUCAUAUUAGAAAAUUUUUAAGUGUGGUUUUAUUGUAAAUUGGAAUAUUGGCAGAAGAAAUGUAUAUAUUCAUAAAAAUCAGUCAAAGGUCAAACAAGAAAAUGAAAACUUGUCUUUAAUUUUUAGUGCACAUUUCUUCCAAGUAUUAUUGUUUGUGAAAUAUGAGAUGUAUUUAUGAAACAUGAAAUCAGCGUUAGUGUUGUUAAACUCUUUUUCUGUAAGAAUGGGAAAGCAUAUAUGCAUAGUUUUUUAUAUAAAAAAUGAAGUGUUUUUCUCAUAUGGUAGAUAUAGAUAUUUUAUUUUCUAGUAUAGUAAGGUUAUGAUAGUUGAUGAGAUUACAUAUUAUACUUUAAAUUAAAAAAAGGUGAGUAGUACAUUUUUAAGGAAGUGCUGACUAAGCAAGAUUUUACUACUUAAAGGGCCAUUAAAUUCAUUUCAGUCAUAUCAUGUUGCACUGAGUGGAGCACUUUAUUUAUCUUAUUUAUGUUAAGAUUGUUUAAGUUGAAAACGAUUGCUUUAUAUGUAUUCAGGGUUUGCAGAGGAAAUACACUUGGUAAUGGAAGUGAAUUACAUUUUACAUAUUUGAAAUAAAUUUAUUUGUUGCCUA